GAUGAACGCUGGCGGCGUGCCUAAUACAUGCAAGUCGAGCGAACAGACGAGGAGCUUGCUCCUCUGACGUUAGCGGCGGACGGGUGAGUAACACGUGGAUAACCUACCUAUAAGACUGGGAUAACUUCGGGAAACCGGAGCUAAUACCGGAUAAUAUAUUGAACCGCAUGGUUCAAUAGUGAAAGACGGUUUUGCUGUCACUUAUAGAUGGAUCCGCGCCGCAUUAGCUAGUUGGUAAGGUAACGGCUCACUAAGGCGACGAUGCGUAGCCGACCUGAGAGGGUGAUCGGCCACACUGGAACUGAGACACGGUCCAGACUCCUACGGGAGGCAGCAGUAGGGAAUCUUCCGCAAUGGGCGAAAGCCUGACGGAGCAACGCCGCGUGAGUGAUGAAGGUCUUCGGAUCGUAAAACUCUGUUAUUAGGGAAGAACAAAUGUGUAAGUAACUAUGCACGUCUUGACGGUACCUAAUCAGAAAGCCACGGCUAACUACGUG
rnacentral:rRNA from 1 species